CGAUGGAUCUUAAGCGGUGGGUUAGGGGUCCAUUACUUCCGUAAAUCCUCUACAUGACGGGCUGACAUCUGCGGAUGAGGCGUCAAAGGCCGCUUGGAGCUUCACCUCCGAACCAGUGACUAUCCGUCCUUUGGGGCUGGCGGUCAACGGGCGGUUUCCGUAGGGAAACUGCUUCGUUGUUUAGCAGGCGAACCUGGCUAGGCUCGGGAGAGAGCAACCUAAGUUUGGACGUUAUGCGCUCAAGGGGGUGCGGGUAAGAGUGUAGGGCUUGAGGCGUUUCAGGCGGAGUCUGGGCGUCAAACCGCAGUGAUCCAUCG
rnacentral:SRP_RNA from 1 species